rnacentral:rRNA from 1 species
GAGUUUGAUCAUGGCUCAGAUUGAACGCUGGCGGCAUGCCUUACACAUGCAAGUCGAACGGCAGCACGGGAGCUUGCUCCUGGUGGCGAGUGGCGAACGGGUGAGUAAUGCAUCGGAACGUAUCCUGGAGUGGGGGAUAACGUAGCGAAAGUUACGCUAAUACCGCAUAUUCUGUGAGCAGGAAAGCGGGGGACCUUCGGGCCUCGCGCUCUUGGAGCGGCCGAUGGUCGGAUUAGCUAGUUGGUGAGGUAAAGGCUCACCAAGGCGACGAUCCGUAGCAGGUCUGAGAGGAUGAUCUGCCACACUGGAACUGAGACACGGUCCAGACUCCUACGGGAGGCAGCAGUCGGGGAAUUUUGGACAAUGGGGGCAACCCUGAUCCAGCCAUGCCGCGUGAGUGAAGAAGG